CUUAAUUGACUUAGCGGCGGACGGGUGAGUAACGCGUGGGUAACCUGCCUUACACUGGGGGAUAACAGUUAGAAAUGACUGCUAAUACCGCAUAAGCGCACAGGGCCGCAUGGUCUGGUGUGAAAAACUCCGGUGGUGUAAGAUGGACCCGCGUCUGAUUAGGUAGUUGGUGGGGUAACGGCCCACCAAGCCGACGAUCAGUAGCCGACCUGAGAGGGUGACCGGCCACAUUGGGACUGAGACACGGCCCAAACUCCUACGGGAGGCAGCAUG
rnacentral:rRNA from 1 species